GAUGAACGCUGGCGGCGUGCCUAAUACAUGCAAGUCGAGCGAACGGACGAGAAGCUUGCUUCUCUGAUGUUAGCGGCGGACGGGUGAGUAACACGUGGAUAACCUACCUAUAAGACUGGGAUAACUUCGGGAAACCGUAGCUAAUACCGGAUAAUAUAUUGAACCGCAUGGUUCAAUAGUGAAAGACGGUCUUGCUGUCACUUAUAGAUGGAUCCGCGCUGCAUUAGCUAGUUGGUAAGGUAACGGCUUACCAAGGCAACGAUGCAUAGCCGACCUGAGAGGGUGAUCGGCCACACUGGAACUGAGACACGGUCCAGACUCCUACGGGAGGCAGCAGUAGGGAAUCUUCCGCAAUGGGCGAAAGCCUGACGGAGCAACGCCGCGUGAGUGAUGAAGGUCUUCGGAUCGUAAAACUCUGUUAUUAGGGAAGAACAUAUGUGUAAGUAACUGUGCACAUCUUGACGGUACCUAAUCAGAAAGCCACGGCUAACUACGUG
rnacentral:rRNA from 1 species